rnacentral:rRNA from 1 species
AGUGAACGCUGGCGGCGUGCUUAACACAUGCAAGUCGAACGAGAACGGGAUAUAGCUUGCUAUAUUUGUCAGCUAAGUGGCGCACGGGUGAGUAAUGUAUAGGUAAUAUGCCUCUUACUAAGGGAUAACAAUUGGAAACGAUUGCUAAUACCUUAUAUGCCUUUAAGACUAAAGCCUGCAAGGGAAAGAUUUAUUGGUAAGAGAUUAGCCUGUAUUGUAUCAGCUAGUUAGUGAGGUAAUGGCUCACCAAGGCUAUGACGCAUAACUGGUUUGAGAGGAUGAUCAGUCACGCUGGAACUGAGACACGGUCCAGACUCCUACGGGAGGCAGCAGUGGGGAAUAUUGCACAAUGGACGAAAGUCUGAUGCAGCAACGCCGCGUGGAGGAUGACACAUUUCGGUGCGUAAACUCCUUUUAUAUAGGAAGAUAAUGACGGUACUAUAUGAAUAAGCACCGGCUAACUCCGUGCCAGCAGCCGCGGUAA